AUUAAAUGUUAAUGUCCAUUAGCAAAGUAGAAGUAAAUAUAAGCGGUCGGAAUAAAUUACUGAUAAUUAAUACACCCGAUAUCUGUGAAUGGAAUCUUCGGAACUGAUCGGACCUUUCCGAUAUCGAUCAAGCAACACGAAGGGAACUUUGAGGUUUCUUUAUUUACUUCAACGACAUAUGGUGGUAGCCGCGCUGUACGUAUAGCUAGAAACGUCGCCAUUACAAAUUUAUAACAGAGCUACAAGGUGCGCGAAAAAUCUGCUCCUCUUCAUGGAUUGAUUUGAUGUAUUCGGAUGGAUUUUUGCAAAGCGGAUUACUCUCCGUUGCGUACGAUUUUUAACCAGAUAAAAAUGUUUAUUCUUUUCUACACUAAUCAAUUAAACAAAGGGCGAGAGGGAGCAUAAUUACACAGAACAAAUGAUUAUGUCGUUUGGAUAAUCUUCAGUGGUUGUUUAGUUCUUGAGUGAGAUGGUUUUUUCACUGGACCGUCUGUUUGCCCGAUUUUCCUGAAACAACAAGAGAAUUUUUUUCUUCAUGCGGCGCCGGUGCUAUUCCCCGGAUCCGAUGAAAUGACUAAGAACCAAGAGUUGCUUCCCUUUGGUUCAGUGAACGGUGUCUAUAUUCAGUGAUGUGGAUCCGAGGCCUGGUUUUUAUUUUCCUUCUGUCACAUUUGUCAUUGUGCAUGAAAACUCAACACAAAGUCGCUUUGAUGUUCUUCAUCCAUACAAACGAUUGUUAAGUGCCCACGCACCUGUAUGAACCGAGACAAAAUGGUCGAUUGUUUACUUCCGCUGUAUUCCGGAUCAGAUCAAGCUGCUUCCUAAAGCGGCUUUUGUGUUAAAGUGAUCCGAUAUAUUGAAUGAUAUAUUUUGUUACAAAUCAAUGAUGAAUUAUGAUACUUAUCCAUUUGAUUGUUUGUUUAAACGAUUAAAAUUUUCUGCAGCG
rnacentral:misc_RNA from 1 species